CCUACGGGAGGCUGCAGUGGGGAAUAUUGCACAAUGGGCGCAAGCCUGAUGCAGCAACGCCGCGUGCGGGAUGGAGGCCUUCGGGUUGUAAACCGCUUUUGUUCAAGGGCAAGGCACAGUCUUUGGCCGCGUUGAGUGUAUUGUUCGCAUACGCACCUGCUAACUACGUGCCAGCAGCCGCGGGCAUACGGAGGGUGCAGGCGUUUUGCGGAUAUAGUGGGCGUAAAGGGCACGUAGGCGGUUCUGCGCGUCCGGUGUGAAAGUCCAUCGCUUAACGGUGGAUCCGCGCCGGGUACGGGCGGGCUUGAGUGCGGUAGGGGAGACUGGAAUUCCCGGUGUAACGGUGGAAUGUGUAGAUAUCGGGAAGAACACCAAUGGCGAAGGCAGGUCGCUGGGCCGUUACUGACGCUGAGGAGCGAAAGCGUGGGGAGCGAACAGGAUUAGAUACCCUUGUAGUC
rnacentral:rRNA from 1 species